UGGGGAAUAUUGCACAAUGGGGGGAACCCUGAUGCAGCGACGCCGCGUGAGCGAUGAAGGCUUUCGAGUCGUAAAGCUCUGUCCUAUGGGAAGAUAAUGACGGUACCAUAGAAGAAAGCCCCGGCUAAUUACGUGCCAGCAGCCGCGGUAAUACGUAAGGGGCGAGCGUUGUCCGGAAUUAUUGGGCGUAAAGAGUGCGUAGGCGGCAAAUUAAGUCAGAUGUGAAAACUAAGGGCUCAACCCAUAGAUUGCAUCUGAAACUGAUAUGCUUGAGUCAAGGAGAGGAAAGUGGAAUUCCUAGUGUAGCGGUGGAAUGCGUAGAUAUUAGGAGGAAUACCGGUGGCGAAGGCGACUUUCUGGACUUGAACUGACGCUGAGGCACGAAAGCGUGGGGAGCAAACAGG
rnacentral:rRNA from 1 species